GGAGAGGUGGCGGAGUCCGGUUGAACGCGGCGGUCUUGAAAACCGUUAGAGGCGUGAGUCUCUCGGGGGUUCGAAUCCCUCCCUCUCCG
rnacentral:tRNA from 1 species